UCAGGGAUCUUGCGCAAUGGACGAAAGUCUGACGCAGCGACGCCGCGUGGAGGAUGACGCAUUUCGGUGUGUAAACUCCUUUUAUUGGGGAAGAAACAAGACGGUACCCAAUGAAUAAGCCCCGGCUAACUACGUGCCAGCAGCCGCGGUAAUACGUAGGGGGCGAGCGUUGUCCGGAGUUACUGGGCGUAAAGAGCGCGUAGGUGGUUCUUCAAGUCGGUUGUGAAAACUGCAGGGCUUAACCCGCAGCGUGCAUCCGAUACUGGAGAACUUGAGGGAUGGAGAGGGAAGUAGAAUUUCUGGUGUAGCGGUGAAAUGCGUUGAUAUCAGAAGGAAUACCCGUGGCGAAGGCGGCUUCCUGGUCAUCUCCUGACACUGAGGCGCGAAAGCUGGGGGAGCGAACGGA
rnacentral:rRNA from 1 species